UACGAAGGGUGCAAGCGUUACUCGGAAUUACUGGGCGUAAAGCGUGCGUAGGUGGUUUGUUAAGUCUGAUGUGAAAGCCCUGGGCUCAACCUGGGAAUUGCAUUGGAUACUGGCAGGCUAGAGUGCGGUAGAGGAUGGCGGAAUUCCCGGUGUAGCAGUGAAAUGCGUAGAGAUCGGGAGGAACAUCUGUGGCGAAGGCGGCCGACUGGGCCGACCCUGACGCUGAGGCGCGAAGGCGUGGGGAGCGAACGGG
rnacentral:rRNA from 1 species